rnacentral:rRNA from 1 species
CCUACGGGAGGCAGCAGUGGGGAAUAUUGGGCAAUGGGCGCAAGCCUGACCCAGCAACGCCGCGUGAAGGAAGAAGGCUUUCGGGUUUUAAACUUCUUUUGUCAGGGAAGAGUAGAAGACGGUACCUGACGAAUAAGCCACGGCUAACUACGUGCCAGCAGCUGCGGUCAUGCGUAGGUGGAAAGCGUUGUCCGGAUUGACUGGGUGUAAAGGGCGUGUAGCCGGGUUGACAAGUCAGGGGUGAAAUCCUGCGGCUUAACCGCAGAACUGCAGUUGAAACUGUUGAUCUUGAGUACUGGAGAGGCAGAUGGAAUUCAUAGUGUAGCGGUGAAAUGCGUAGAUAUUAGGAGGAACAACAGUGGCGAAGGCGGCCUGCUGGACAGCAACUGACGGUGAGGCGCGAAAGCGUGGGGAGCAAACAGGAUUAGAUACCCUAGUAGUC